rnacentral:rRNA from 1 species
AUGUCGCAGGAACAAGAUUGGUCGUCUCUCCCGGUGGACCUGCUUAUCCUGAUCCUCAACCGUCUCCGGUGGUCAAGCCACCCGAGUUUCGCCUUGGUGUGCCGACAAUGGCGCUCCGCCGUGUCGCCCUUCUACCCGGCGUGGAUCACCCCGCUCCUGCUAAACACCACCGACGUUGGAACCACCAACAUCCGCUACUACAGUCCCUACUUCCAGAAAAACUUCGAGAUUGACGACACGCUAGAGGCGCCUGGCGCCAAGAUCUGUUGCGCCAGCGGAAGGUACGUGACACUAUGCAUGCCAAAGCAGAUACUCAAUGUUGACCUUUUGAGCUACGACAACGACUAUCUGCCACUGAUAUCUCAGUUCCGGUUUGAGCAUAUCGUCUACGACGGUAUGCGCAAGAUGGUUGGCAUUGACACGGUUUGCCUGCAAGAGAUUGGUUGUUGCAUGCAAAACAGCGACGAGGUGUGGGAACGUUGGGCAUACUGCUACCCUGACAGGACAAAGUUUACGGCGUCACCAGUGUCCAACCCUGUGUUCCACCGCAGCUUCAUCUAUCUACUACUCGAAGACGGAAGAUUAGCCGUAUGCGACGAGUGCAAACACGAAGAAGGAUUUGAAAUUCUUGACAAGCCCCAAAGUUUCGGGUUUGUAUACGAAGACAGCUACUUGGUUGAGUCCGACCAGGUUGAGCUGAUGGUCGUCCUCAUCGGCCGACGCGGGUCGCCUGUCAACAUUUUCAAGCUCAAUGAACACACGAUGGAGUGGGAGAAAAUGGAGAGCCUAGAUGGCAGGGCUUUGUUUACAGGUACACUCACGACUGUAAUGAAGAAGACUGCCAUUAAGUCCAUGCAAAAUAAGGUCUUCCUCCCAAGACUCUACGAUUGGCCUGACAUCGUUUAUGCUGACUUUGUUCUGCGCGACGGUGAAUUUGCCUUCGUAGAGUCACGGCGUGUUGAUAACAAAAUGAAGGUUGGCAAUGGCGCAUAUAGCACAAACAUGUGGUCUUACGAAUUGGGACAACGCGAAAAUCCAAGGGACUUUUGGGAGACAGAGAGAAUGGAUUACAGUAUUUGGGUCGAUUUUAGCAAUAGUUAA